UACAUCAAUGACAGAAAGAUC
rnacentral:piRNA from 1 species